UAGUCUCCAUCACCAGUUAAACUGGUAUUGUGACAUCACAGUGCUUGUUUUACUUAAUGGUUCUAAAGUACAAGAAUAAUGAAGCUGAUGAUGCAUAUAUGUGAAAGAAAGGAUAUAAAGUGCUUCCUUAAGUGAAAAGGUGAAACUUCUUGAUUUAAUAAGGAAAGAAAAAAUAGUAAUCAUAUGAUGCUGAGAUAUCAAGCCUGAAAAUCAUUCUUAAUUUGUUUCAUGGAGUAUAACUUCUUGGAACUCUGCCUCACCACAAGAGCAUCAUGACCUUUUUCAGGCAUCUUCUACUCCUACACCAUGGUACCAGAUCUAUGAUUAGCAUGCCAAGGGCUAGUGUAUCAUCCUACAGAACACUCUGGAAGAAACAGGACACUAGACAUAGAAGAAGUGAACUAAAAAAGAAAAAUUACGUUGGAAAGGCAUUGCAUUAAAUUUGGAGACUAUAGAGCGAUGAACAAGAUAGACAAGACUCUGAGCUCAUGAAACAUAUUAUCUAGAAAGGCUUUCAGAAGAAUAAUAUUGCUCCAGACUGGAAAAAUAACAGAUGUCUGCUUCACCUACCAAUUAUUACAUCCCCAAGUUCUCUUAAUAGUCAGUGCUUCAGAUUUCUUUUUUCUGCUCUCUCUGAGAAAC